AAUGCUGGAUGAUCUCAAUGCUGCCCCAGUCUGAUCAUGAUGACUGAAGGGUAUUUAAAUGGCAUG